rnacentral:lncRNA from 1 species
AAGUAGUCCUGUGUACGCUUUUUCCUUGUGAUUGUAACUUUGGUGAAUUUAAAUAUCAGGCCCUAAGGAACAUAGACCCCACCGGCGAUCAUAUGAAUCACGUGUUGUGGUGCCUCAUGUUCGUUUUUCCUAUUUCCAUCCCUUUCUCUGAAGUGAUUUUUAUCUCGGUCACUUAAGAACUCUUGAAGAUGAACCUCGUUGAAUAAUCGAGCUACCUCCUCCCGUAAUUGCCUGUAGUCUUCGGUCUUGCGACCAUGGGUUCUAUGGUAUUUUCAUACUUGAUUAGGGUUUCUUUGAUCUGGAUCGGACUGCAGGGGUCUAAGCCACCUAGUGUCCUUGAUUGGUCCAGUGGCUGAUACAAUACCUAAUGCAUCGACGCUGAAGUUGUACUCUGAUAGUUGUGGUGCUUCCUUGGGCACAACAUGUUUAUCGAAGCCUCUUUUACUCAUGAGCCCUCGGGAGCUUUUUCCUCGAUCAUUCCUUCAAUCAUUCCAAACGAAGUUGCUUUCCG